CUACGGGAGGCAGCAGUAGGGAAUAUUGCACAAUGGGGGAAACCCUGAUGCAGCAACGCCACGUGUGGGAAGAAGCAUUUCGGUGUGUAAACACUGUCGUGAGGGAAUAAGGCUAAUUUUCGGAUCAGUUGAAUGUACCUCGAGAGGAAGCACCGGCAAACUUCGUGCCAGCAGCCGCGGUAAU
rnacentral:rRNA from 1 species